CCUACGGGAGGCAGCAGUGAGGAAUAUUGGUCAAUGGGCGAGAGCCUGAACCAGCCAAGUCGCGUGAAGGAUGACGGCCCUACGGGUUGUAAACUUCUUUUGUCAGGGAGCAAUUGAGUCCACGUGUGGGCUUAGCGAGAGUACCUGAAGAAAAAGCAUCGGCUAACUCCGUGCCAGCAGCCGCGGUAAUACGGAGGAUGCGAGCGUUAUCCGGAUUUAUUGGGUUUAAAGGGUGCGUAGGCGGAAUAUCAAGUCAGCGGUAAAAAUUCGGGGCUCAACCCCGCUCCGCCGUUGAAACUGGCGUU
rnacentral:rRNA from 1 species